CACCCAGACAAGCCAUCUGCCACCCGGAAACUACAAACUAUUGAUUCCCUGUCCUCCAUGCAAUGUAGAGAUCAGAACUGUGUGCUGAAGUCAAGGUGAAAGUGCACCAAUGUUUUACACAGUGCCAGAGUGACCUCUCUGUCACAUUCUCAGUAACCUCCCUGAUGAUGUGCAACAUAGUGACUUCCGGCUCCUGCUGGACAUUGAGCCAGAAGGUAACUUCCCUCCCACAGCAUCUCUGAUUUGUCCUGCAGCAUCUAUUCUCUUUCUAAAAGGACUGGGCUUUUCCAGUCCCUUUCUCUGUUAUAGCUAUUUCUUUUUCUUUCCCUCCAGUCACAUUUACUUUGAACACUCAAGAACUGGCAGAGUUAAAAUCCAGGCUAAUUCAGUGACUAAAGGCUUCAAACUGCUGUGUUUUUAACUGGAAAGCAGAACGGAAUCCUAAUUGGAAGCCAAAACCAGAUCUGAACAGAAUUUGAAAUCCCAUUUUGAAGCCCUUUUCAAACAUACAUCUAUAUAAGACUUACUGUUUCUGGCAUCCCCUAGCACAUAUUUGUGCAGUAUAGGGACUGUUUAGACUAGAUUUUGCACAAGCCUUUGUUUCAGGACUGUAGCAAGGGUGCACUGGCUGCUCUGUGCUGCUCUUUAGAUUCUCACUGAGCUUGUUCACUCAGGGACCUGCCUCCUAAACAGCCUUUGGUAGAAGAGGGCAGGUAAUAGAAUCAUAGAAUCAUACAAUCAAUCAUAGAAUCACAGAAUCAUAGAAUGGUUUGGGUCUGAAAAGACCUUAAAGCUUAUCUAGUUCCAGCCACCUGCCAUGGGUAGGGACACCUUCCACUACACCAGGUUGCUCCAAGCCCCAUCCUACCUGGUCUUGAACACUGCCAGGGAUGGGGCAGCCACAGCUUCUCUAGGCAACCAGCUUUGCCUAGCUUUGAUUCCUGUCCUUCUGUGUCUGUCAACUGUGUGGUUAUUACUAGUGACGUGCCCUGUGGGUAACAGUAGGCCUAAGUUUCUCAAGCCUUUUUCUGUCAGUCUUAUGGUGCGCCUUACUGGGGUAGGUGUGUUUACAUGUAUGCGUUUCUGUGCUUUCAUGACCUACAUUUGUGUGUGUGCAUUCAUCUAUUGGGUAGUGGUUCCCUACUGUUCCUGUUGUGGUAGCCUGUUCAUUAGUCCUGCUUCCCACUCCUCUGCCUGAACUGCCACUAGCUGCCUGCAGUGCUUCACCUUAUUUGCAGGCUUACAUGUGGCCUUAAAGAUUUGAGUAGAGAGAAGCUGCUUUUCUGGCAUGGGAACAUGGAUGAUGUCUGUCCUGAGACAAGGAAGCAAAGAGGUAGGCUGGAGUAACUUCCUGCCUGAAGGUCCAUGCCCCAAGUGUGCCCCAUUCAUACAACAUUUUUGUUUUCAUAUUUGUAACCAUUCAUAAUAGAGUAUGUAAUAUGUAAGCUGUGUGGGCUAAAUGAGCCAACUAGUGAAUCACUGUAUACCCAGCGUAGAGUAAAUUUAACCAGCACUGAUUCCAAACCAGAGGUAAAUAAAAAGUAUACCAUUUCAGCUGUUUCAAACCCAUUAUGAAUAAAAGGCUGAAUGUUGUACAUGGGCAUCAUGCAGUAUAUACUUUUUUGAAGAAACUCUGCAGUCAGAGAGAUUAAAAGAAAUAUCCUAAUGGCUCAUUUUUUAAUGUCUCUUUGGGUUACUCAGGGUUAAAAAUAAAAUUGUAAAAAUCCUUCAUAUAAGCCAAGAGAACUUUACAAUCUUUUACAAGUCAUCUCUACUGUCUUUAACUUCCUCAUGUAGAAUUUGAAGAAGCCUUUCAUACCAGAUACACUACUUCCUUCUUGUGUAAGUGUUGUUGGAUUAUGUGUUAUAAUAAAACCACUUUGCAGCAGGUUAUUUAUUAAAAUACUUGUAUUAUAUUAAGUAUAUAUAACUUGCAUAACUAUAUCAGAGCAAAUACAACUGUGAUUUCAAUCCAGCAUAAAAAUGUCAUUGCAGAAAAUAGUCCCUUCUGUUUGUAACAGAGGAACAGAGUCAGUUCUGUGACGGUAAAAGCUGACAGCUCACACCUAACUACUGCUAAGGUGGUGCUUUGUUUAUGCCUUAUUUAGCUAAAUGGGAGAAACAGGUCAGUCUGAUUCAUUACACUGUUCUGAUCCCUGCCUUUUAAAAAGCUCUCUGCCUAGAAAUAAAGAGCAUGUUACAUCUCUCCAGCCAUAAGUUCUCCUGAAAAGGCAGUACUGGUCUUUCUAACUUCAGCCUUCUUUACUCAUCAGUAAAUAGGUAAUUCCUGUAACACACAAGAGACAGUGUUCUCUUUCGAUCCCUUCAUGUCACACCUUGAAAACAUUAUUUUCUCAAAAAGUGCUGCUGUGUUCACUAUUUCCUGGUAGCCCACAGUGGCAAAAGUGGUAUCAGGAUAGAAGAAGCAUCCAGUUGGGCAAAGUGUAACCCCUGAAUUUACUUAGAACAACAGAAAGAGUAGAAUAGUUUCCUUUCUCCAUCUCUUAAGAAUAUGUAAAGGUAUUGUGCUAUUCCUGCAUUUUCUGAAUAAAGCCCAGGAGAAAUGAAAAAUUUGAGUCUCUGCCUUACUCAGCAUAGUGAGUAACUAGCCCAGGCCAGAUAUAAAACUGUUUUAAAAGCAGGCCUCCCUGCUGGCAGCAGCAGUGUGCCACUUUGACAUACAGCAAUAAUUUUAAAUGAGAGUGAUUUAUUUUUCUUUCAAAGGCAGCAGAUGGCAGCAAAGUUGUACAGAUGCGCCAGACUAGUGGAAGAAGAAAAAUAUCUUAGUACACACACUCUUAACAACAUUCCAUGGAAAAAAGGUAUCAUUUGUUUCUGUCUGACUUGCAGUGUGGUUAAGAAUAUAAAUCAGGUUUAAUGGACCUCGUGCACUUGUAACGUGAGGGCUUUUUUUCCCCAUUAUGAGUAGGUAAUAAAAUCAGAUAGGACAAGAUGAUGUGAAUUAUCACUCAAUAAAUUAUCUUUGUCUCUGCAGGAAUCACUCCUUUGUGUAAAUCUUUUUAGAUCCUUCAUUAAACAGAUACUGAUUGCCUUGUGCAAAUAUUAUCACAAAGUGCUAGACUGUCUGUGUGUGCACCCUGACCAAUACAAGAGCUUUGGCUGCCACUCUCUGCUGUGAGCUGUGUACCCCACUCACUUUCUCACUUGAGUUAGUUUCUGGGUGCAUCCUUUCCUGAGGUUCCUAAGUAGGUGAUGAGAUUUUUUUUUUUAGAGAGGAAAGAGAGAGGAGGAAGGAAAUGCUGCUAUGUAAAGUCAUAGUGGUUAAAACACUCCAAAUUCCUACUGUAUAAAAAAAAAAAAAAAGAACUCUGGGGUUUGGACAAGAACACUGAAAGUUUCUGGGAUUUGAUCCCUACUCAUGAAAGCAUUUAGCACCACAUUUGACACAUGUAUGUUGGUUGAAGUUCUCAUUGCCAGCAGCACUACACCACAUCCAUUUAAGAGGAGCAGCAAUUAUCAUACAUUGUUGAACUCAUUUCAGAUUGAACUGAGAACGUGGAUUUGAGUUAACUCUUUUUGAAAGAGUUCCUGUCCCUUAUUUCUACCUUUUAGUAGUUUCUUCAGUCUUUAAACCAGAACUUGUGAAUAAAGUAUAAAGCAAAGCUUACAAUACAAUCUUUCAGUAUAAAAAUGUUUUUGAAAGAAAGCUGAGUCUUAGAUUUUUACUUUUUUUUUUUCCUCCUGCUGAAGCCAGUAGAAGUUUUGUUUCAAUUAAUGGGAUCAGUCUCAGGCCUGGGAUUUGGUGUUGAGAUUCCUAUCUGGCUUACCAGUUCAUCACCACCAGAAUGUCUGUUGUCUGUAGGCAGUAAGUAAUGAUAUAUUCCAGUUGCAUAUUUUUCAUGUUGUUUAUCAAUAAAGAGCCAGACUAUGAAUUUGUUCCUUAUGCAGAAUGAGAUGCAGAGUUUCAAAGCCCCAGGAAAAGAAUUACUUAGAAAAUGUGACUUAGAAAUCCAUCACUUUUUUCUUCUCUCUAAAGAGAGCAAAUUUACACAGUGCAGCUGUCUUCUCCCAGUGUGCAGACUCUGAUCUGCUCCUGAGUCCUUAUAUACAGGGAGGGAAGUGUAGUGGCCUGUAAGAGUUUACUGCUUUCUAGCAGAGAGCCACAGUAGAGUCAGGUCAUGGAAAGGGAAAGGGGGAAUCCAUGCACUCUUUUGUCCUCUCCCGUAACAACAGUGGGAUGAGUUAGAUGCUGGCCUUUUCCUCUUACAGUGUUUUGGUCUCAUGAUAACUCCUGUGACAGUAACCACCUAUUAAAAGGACAAUAAUCAUGUUUGCUUGAGGAACUGCUUAGUUUGCUCCUGAACUAGAAGAUAAGAUCUGUUAUGUUUGUUCUCCCAUUUCUGCCAAUACUACUGAACAUCAGAGAUUAAGACCUGGACAUUUGUUUGUUUAUUUUUACAUCAAAUUAACAAAGUAUGAAGAAAAUAUAAACCAUUUUAUAAUUGCUGGAAAAGUUGCAUGUAAUUUGCAAACUGACAGAUCUGGGAAGUGAUAACUUGACUGAAAGAAUCAGAAGAAUAUUUAUUUUGCAAACCCAUUCUGAGAGUCAGAAUUUAUUACAAAAUAUUUACCUUCAGCUAGGUUGGACUGAUCUUUCCUGGCUUUUGAAAAACCCAGGCUUUUUUAAGUGGGUGGGAGACUCAAGGAGGUCCAAUUAAAUGUUAGGUAAAAGUUAUCACAGAAUCAAAAAUGUCAAAGAUUUCAUUUGGCCUCCUUAUUGCUGUUGGUGUUGCCUGGAAGUUUGUGGGCAAAACACUCCAGUCUUAUCAAAUAAUUAACAUUGAUUCUAGUCUUAACAGAACCAUUUGUUUUUCAUUUGGAAACAUUACAGUUAUCAAGGAUUUUGCCUAGUGUACGUAGCAUGUAGUAAAAAAGGUUUUUACAUAGCAAAGUUCUUUACCUCAUGAACAAAUUAUGCUCCUUCUCCUCAUGAAGGAUACAUGGCCCUGCUCCAAAGAAUUAAGUAUUUAAAAAUUAAAGCAAUUUCAAAGCUGACAUAAUUAUUUGGUGAAAAAAACCUGUUCUUUAAGAAAUAUUUGGAUGAUAAAAGAAAACCCUUGUGAACACAAUAAACAAAUUUUACUUAGGCAUAAUUGUAUUUAGUUAUUGAUUGUACUCAGUCAUUCUGGAUUUUUUUCUCCUGAUGCCUGUGUGCUCUACACUACUUAAGUAUGAUGUGAGAUAAUAUAAAAUGGUGUAUUGGCGGCACAAGGAAAAUAUUUGGAUGGCUGUCUGGAGUUGCCAUUAUUGGCUUUAAUUAUGACUUGCUGUCCUUUGGGUAAUAAAUGAGCCAGAAAAAGUUUCAUAUGUGCCAAAGUAUUCAUUAGUAUUCCCCUUUCUGUCAUUGUGCUUGCAGAAGAAGUUUAUAUCUGGCACCUGACUGCAGUUCUUAUUAGCACUGACCAAGAUACUUUGCAGAUUUUGAUAAUCAUCUGAGAGUACACCAGUGUCUCUACUUUUUGGAUACAGAAGUUGUUCCUAGGGUAACAGUGGCAGAACUCUUUGACCACAUUCUGAUCUAACUUGAGAGCAAACAUUUUUUGCAGUUCUUGAUGUGACGCGGCUGCUUAAAGUUAAGAUUUGUGGACACAACUGGAGAAAGAAAAAUGAUUACUUUUUUCACUCCUUCAGAUUGGGGGACCUGCACUAGGUCUUUAUGAGAAAGCACUUGUAUAUCAGCAUUUUAGGCCCCUUGCCACCAUUCUGUAUAGCAUUAAUAAUGGAGCCGUAAAAGUUUCUGAGAUAAAAAUAGCCUUUGGAAUAUAUUUUGAUAAUAAGAAAAUUGUCUAUAGUGAAGUAGUUUUUCUUUGCCAUAGGGUGUCUCUAGAGUAGGAAUAAAACAAAAUAAUAACUCAUAAAGAAUAUUUCAAGAACUCUUCUGACACUUCACUAAGGAGGCUCUGCUGAGGUUGGUGACCACUCCUUUGGCAUCCACUCUUGAACAGACUGGUGAAUAAGGAUGAAUUCCUCCUCCAAUACAUGUUUACUGUUGCAAAACUUGAAUUUAGAACUUUGUUUGAACUGAACUUACAGUCAUGUUUUAAGCAGCCUUUGAAAUGCUGGCCUGUGGGACACCAGACUGUUCUUAUAAACUAGUGUUUUAAUUAAAGCAGUGUGUAAACAAAUGCUCCUGAUUUUGAAGGCAUUUGAUGACAUUUUCCACUUCUCAUCUGUCACAUUAGGGCAUAAGCUGGACUUGACAUAAGCACACAGCUAUUCUUGAGCUUCUAGGACUUUGAGAGGAUUCUUGCUUAUGGGCUGAUACUGUUUCACAGUCUUGUUCUCCCUGAAGCCUCAUGGGUUUCAAAAUCCUCAAACUCCUCAGAGAUUUUAAUCUAGUUCAUGGAUGGAUUUCAA